AAAUCAUGAUGAGGACAUCUCUUUAAAAACUCUUCAAAUCGCUCCCAUGCCUCAAAUAAGGAUUAUGCUUCAUAUUGUUGGAAGCCACAUAUCUUCGUCAUGAGUUU